rnacentral:lncRNA from 1 species
CAUCGUUGGGAUUUGAUUUGGGUCACAUAAAUGCAUACCCGAGUUUAGGAAGGUAAAUGCACCUGUGGCCCUUGACGUAUUUUAACAUCGUUGGGAUUUGGAUUUGGGUCACAUAAAUGCACAACCGAGUUUAGGGAGGUAAUUUCUGAAAUCGCGCCUAACACAACUAUGCACUUUCAAGUUUGCGAGGGCCAUGGAGAUUCAACUUAAUGGCAUCUCUCGAUUUCUAAGGAUUAAAUUAACUAAGCGAGGACCAUGCAUUUUAAGAUUUUAUUUGGCACGACAUGCCUCAAUUCUAAUUUUAAAGGGAAUUCGAGCUAAACUCCCGAGGGCCAUAAAUAUAUCUUACUUAGUACGGCACGUCCCAAAUCUAUUCAACUAAUUUUAAUAGCUAUUGAUAUUCAUAUUUAAAGCUAAUUCAAAAUUUAGUACCACAACUACGUCACGAGAAUCGUAUCCGUAGCCGUGAUAAACUAAUUAUAUGCCUGAAGCAAACUACGAAGAGUCAUUACUACAACUAAAGAAGAAUCAUGUCAAACUUGAUAUAAGUGAACAAUUACUGCAAGUCCAACCCUGAAUAAAGUAAAAUCAUCGUAAGGCAAAGCUAUGGUUUGUCAUUUUUAUUAGAUAAUAUGCAAAUAUUUUGCUAAAAGAAGUAUUAUGACUGCAAAAACUAGUUAUAAACUUCACCCAAAGUCAAAGAGCACAUGACAUCGUAGAAAGCCUUUUCAAUUAUAUAAAAAACAAAACAUUUUAGUAUUUGUUAGCAGAAUCUUGUUAGUUAAGCUAAUGGAUUCUUCACGCCAAAUAUAGAACAUGGCUGACAUUACAAUAUACAGCAGAAUCUAUGCCUCUCAAUUCCCAUCUGUCAUUUUGUUUUGCAUACAUUGCAAGUACUUGUCGUAGACGAGUCAGAGAGGAUUACAAGAUCCAUUAGAACAAGAUUAAUAUCAGCAAACAUGCUUUGCAAAUUGUAUAAGAAGCCAGAGAUGAAUCGAUUCAGCCCAGAGACUAAACUGAAAUAUAAAACUAUCAAUUUUUCAAUUACUCAUGCUAAAGAACACCUUAACAGUAAAGUAAAAUGAAGAAGACAGAGGAAUACCUGACCUUUCCAAACAGGAUAAGAGAAUGCAAAUAGAAAAUGCACCAUCAAAGGCGGAGCUCUAUAUUUCAAAAAGCUUGACUUACCACACGACUGGAAUCCGAACCUUAACCGAAAACCAGCAACAACCUCAAAAGACCCUCGGCGAUCUCGAAACUUGCCGGAGAACUCAAACUAAACCCGAAUAACAAAAUCGACAAACUCCAUGACAUGGGAUAGCGAUUGAAGUUGAAGUUUGGUUGGUUCGUUGUGUUGAAAGAACUUUCUUGGUUGUGAAGUGAAGAAGAAGAAACGGAGACGAGGAGGGGUGUUGUGUUCUCAAAUUAGAAAUGGUUGUGUGCCUUAAGUCUUAGGAUCUGUCAUUUUGUUACAAAAAAAGAAAGGUCUCAUGUGUGAUUUCGGACGACUUCAUGAAGAAGCAGCAGCAGCUUCCCGUUCUCUCGCGUAUGUGUGGCUGUGUGUUAAGUGUUUUCCAACGAGGGGGAGAUGAUUGAUGGCUGCUUUGUGUCGGUGUGG